rnacentral:rRNA from 1 species
AUGCAACGCGAAAAACCUUACCUACCCUUGACAUGUCUGGAAUGCCGAAGAGAUUUGGUAGUGCUCGCAAGAGAACCGGAACACAGGUGCUGCAUGGCUGUCGUCAGCUCGUGUCGUGAGAUGUUGGGUUAAGUCCCGCAACGAGCGCAACCCUUGUCAUUAGUUGCUACGAAAGGGCACUCUAAUGAUACUGCCGGUGACAAACCGGAGGAAGGUGGGGAUGACGUCAAGUCCUCAUGGUCCUUAUGG